CUGGUUGGUUGAUAUUGCUGUUCUUCGGCCCCUUCAGCUCCUAAUUAUAUCCAAUUUUAAAGAAGAUGGAUCCAGGGGAAUGGAUGAGAGUACCAUGAUAAGGGAAAUAAACCAAACUCGGACAAAUGCUACGUGUUUUCUCUACAUGCAUGACCUAGAUUUAACAACUUAUUGAUUGUGUAUAUGUCCGUGUAUAUGCAGGUGUCUAUGCCUACUCAUGAUGCAAAGGACAGAAUAGUGUGACCGGUUUCCUCCUUGACCACCCUCUACUUGAUCCUUUUAGGCAGGGUCUCUCCUUGAGCCUGGGGCUCUCAUGUUCUCAGCUAGACUAGAAUGCAGCAAGCUCCAGCCAUCUUCCUGUCUCCAUCCUUCAUCCCUGAAGCUGGGAUUGCAGGAAACCUGUCCUAUUAUGCAAAUGGCAGACAUAACAAAGGCGAGCUGUACCAACACCAAAACAGAAGAAAGUGGCCGAAUUUCCAGCUUGUGGAGGCAGAACCACCAGCUGUUGCGUGAGGACACUGAUUUCCAUAAGCCAGGACUUUUUAUCUUUCUCAGAAGGAGCAGAUAACGCACGCGCACGCACGCACGCAAGCACGCAGAGGAACUGCACUGCAGUGCUUGCAUCUCAGGGUGGUGAUGCCUAUUUAACUCUCUUUGGUGCCCACAAAGAAUGCUGCCUGACCAGUUAAGGUUCUAAAAUACCUAGUAAGGGAGGUUAUGCAAAGCAGGGCUCCAUCUCCAAGGUGGUAAUGGGGGGGGGGGGGCGAGACUCUGAACUGCUCUCCAUGGCUCCACGGCUCCAUUCAGGGUUUGAACCCUGACCUACCACCCAGAAGCUCCCUGUGGGCUAGUGAAAGCUAAUGGGGAGAGAAAGGCUUUGGAGUUUGCACAGCCAAAAAGUGUGUGCUUCAAGGAAGAAGCUGGAGUGCACCCAUGUGUGAUGUUCACAUCCGGUUCUUUGAGCAAGCACGCUUCAGACUCAUACCACCCACGGGUCAGUCCAACAAGCAGCCACACUCACAGGUGAAGGAGGACCAUCGAUUUAGGACACUCUCCUGUCGCUAUGCCCACCAUACCGGAUGGGAAGACUCUAAUGUUGGAAACCAAAUGAACAACACGGAUACACAGCCCAUUUAAAUGACAGCAUGGGAAUGUAAAAUGUGGCCUAAGGACAUAAACUUCAAAAAUACCAUCUUCCCAGUUAUUUAGCACUGCUAAUAACAUGACAGGUCAGUGAUGACAGGAACCUUAAUUAGUGGCUCGUGAACAUGAAGCAAGGGCUGUAGGGAUGCGGAGAAGUUAAGAGCACUUACCGCUCUUGCAGAAGACCCAAGUUCCAUUCCCAACACCCAUAUCAGGCAGCUCAUGACCACCAAUCAUUCCAGAUCCAGAGCAUCUGUUGCCUUCUUCUGGUUUCUACAGAUAUUGUACUCAUGUGUAUACAGAGAGAGAGAGAGAGAGAGAGAGAGAGAGAGAGAGAGAGAGAGAGAGAGAGAGAGAGAGAUUCUUUUCAAAGAGAGAUGAAUAAUAUAAAAUGAUCUCUGUGGUGACAUUACAAAGUAAGAUAACAACUAGGCAUGAUGGUAUAUACCUUAAUACCAACAUUCAGGAGGCAGAGGCAAGAGGAUCUUCCCAUGUUCAAAGCCAGCCUGAUUAACAUAGUGAGCACCGAGACAGCCAGGGCUACAAAGAAAAACCAUGUCUCAAAAACAAAAAUGAAAAUAAAUGACAAAAUAUUAUUCCUAUGAUGCUUUAUGCAGUUUCUAUGAUGUAUUAGCUAGGUAAAGUAGCACACACCUCUGGUCCUAGCAUUCAGGAGGCUGAGGCAGGAGAAUCAUAAACUGGGACCAGCCAUAGGGGAAGACAAGUAGAAAAGGAGACUUGCAUGAUUACAAACCUAAUAAUGACACGGUAGAUUGAAGGCAAAGCAGAGGAGAGACCUGCUGCAGCUGAGCAGAGAUUGGGGCUAGGGUCAUACAUAGUCUCUCGUGUUGUCUCUGCUCUUUCCAUGAUGCAAACUGUAAGAAAUUGCUGGGCCAGCUGGUAGAGUGCUUGGCGAACAUGCCAAGCUCUAGGCUCAGGCCCCAGCGCUACAUAAAACUGGGUGUGGUGGUGCUAUAUAUCCAUAAUCCCAGCACUCAGGAAGUAGAGGCAGGAGGACCAGAAGUUCAAGGCUACAAAGCAAGCUCAAAGGCAGCCUUAUGAAAUGGAAAGUUAAAGGUUCUUUGGAAAGUCGGUUGUGUCAGGGGAUGGUGUUUUGCUGGGGCAAACACAUGAAGGAAUGUUUUGCUGAAGUGGACCCAGGUAAAAGGAUGGUUUGCUAAAGCAAACACAUGAAAGAACAGGUGAUGAAGGAUUCUUCGCUAACGACACACAUGUAUUGACUGGUUCACUUACAUAUGCUGUUGAGCUCCAUUUGUCAUGACUCCACAGAGAGAAACGCACCAAAAAUCUUCUGGUGGUGUGCUGGUGGCUUCUUGCCACUUCCUCGGACUCGGGGCAAUUGGCAGAGUGACGUCAGCUGAGACAGACGCAUCUGGAGUUUUGCUAAGACAGACUCACAUGCUGAGGCAAGGCAUGUGGUGGGGAAAGACCCAUGAUGUUUGGGGGGAGUAUAAAUAGGACUCAAGUGACUAUAAGAGGGGCUUGCUUUUAGAGCUAGCUUUGCAACACUUCUUGGUCUUGAGUCUUCGGUGAUCUUCGAGUCCCUGAAAGAGGUACAACCAAGAACUUCUCCGACGUCCCUGGUGGUCCUAAUUUCUCCUGCUGGCUCAUGCCAAAUCGGCUGAGGCCUGGCUGUUCCUGCUAGGUCAUGCCACAGCUGCUGCUAUCCUGACACUACUGAACGAGACUACUGUAAAAUCCAUGAAGUGUUUGUGAGUGGAGGGAGCUGCCGCUGCUGAAUCCUGUGAACUGAACUUCUGAUUUCCUGGCAUCACAGAUGGGACUUGCUCCAAAGAACCAUUUCUAAACAGGUCCACUUCUCCCGAGUCAUUUUAACAUUUCUUUUCUGCCAGCUCUGAUGUGAUGGGUGGUGGGCUAGAAGGGAGGUUAAAGUGUUUAAGAACUGUCAGUAAGAGUAGGUUUUGAAAUAUUUAUGCAACAGCUUUAGUUAUGUGAGAACCUGUCCCUAUAAAGAAUGGGCAGAGAGGAGAGGGAAGACCUUUUGUGUUCUCCUCAGUGAGACCCAACAGAGCCGGUACACACACAGCUUCUCAGCCACUUAUCUUGCUAGGCCAGUAUCUCAUCUUUCAGGACGUCUCAAUGGAAAGAGUGUAUGCAGAAAUUAAUGAGGCCUGUUAGAAUCGGAAUCCACCCAUCUUAGCGGAGGCUGGGUUAAGAUUGGAAUGUAGCUCUCUCUCCAUGACAACCAUAUCAGUGUUUGGGCUCUGCUUGUUUCUAGGUACCCCAUUCCAGGAGAGUGUGUGCUGCCACUGAACUAAGGCUCUGGCCUUUCUUACAGGUGUGAGACCGAGCAGAGAUUCACCUUCCUUGGGAUUAUAAUCUCAGUUUAUCAAAGUAGAGCAGGUAUUGUACUGAACACUCCCACCAAUAAAUGCCAGGAUUCUGACAGAGAGAUAAAAUGCUCACCUCUUUCAAGUAGAAAUUCUCUACAGAUGAUAGGCAACUACGUAGGCCUCACCUCAGCUUCCCAAAUGCUCCCAAACCCACCCAUCCACUCUCAACAACGAAUGUCACAAGACAUGUGUGAAUCUUGUCUGCUAUCUCUCCUGUUAAAAAGAGGUCAAUGGUAGAGAAAAACAAAAUCUCCCUUCAAAAAUCCUCUUUCCACACCUGCUUCAUACAGACUUACGUUUCCCCCAAGAGAAAGACAGCUGCCUCAGACGUCACUUCCCCUGAGAUGUCUGCACGCAGAGACAAUGGGAGAUCAGGUUUCUAAUACUCCCCCGCCCACACACACACUUCCUUCUGGACCUGAGUAGCCUGUGUUUGUCACAGUGGCAAUGACAUUGUGAGGGACAAAGGGAUAGAUGGGUGAAGGAGACCGGAGAACAUUCUCCAGAAAAGCAUGCUUCCAUUGUGAGCCCAAGUGCUCCGUAGGGUCCCCAGCCAGAGGGUGCAGUGGAGGAAGGGUUCACUCAGGUCCCAGGCCAGAGGAUGUGGUGGAGGAGAAGGCACGGUGGCUACAGAUGCAGCAGCUGGGCACACUGAAGCAGAGCAGAGUCUCAGCCCCAGCUUUCUCAUUUGUCGUUCUGCAGCUGGGGACCCCGGUAUGUGCAAUGCUGAAGCUCCUAUCUCAGUUAACCUCAGGUAGAAACUCCACCCCAGACAUCCAGACUUUGAAUCUUGGUGGCUCUAGACCCCAUCAGGUUGACAAUCCAUAUCAACCACCACAGCCUCCUAAGUCAUUCUGUAAUCUCUUAUUUCUGAUAUAAAUCGAGGUGCCUGCAAGACGGCUCAGUAGGUAAAGGCCUUCAAACCUGAGGACCUGAGUGCAUCCCCAGGUCCCACACUAUGGAAGGGAACUGACUCCCACAAGUUGUCCUCUGACCUCCACAUCUAUGCCAUGACAUGCAGACGCACACGAAAAUAAAUAAAUGCAAUAAAAUUUCUCCUUAA